UACGUAGGGGGCUAGCGUUGUCCGGAAUCAUUGGGCGUAAAGCGCGUGUAGGCGGCCCGGUAAGUCCGCUGUGAAAGUCAAAGGCUCAACCUUUGAAUGUCAGCGGAUACUGCCGGGCUAGAGUCCGGAAGAGGCGAGUGGAACUCCUGGUGUAGCGGUGGAAUGCGCAGAUAUCAGGAAGAACACCAACGGCGAAGGCAGCUCGCUGGGACGGUACUGACGCUGAGACGCGAAAGCGUGGGGAGCGAACAGG
rnacentral:rRNA from 1 species